rnacentral:rRNA from 1 species
GAUGAACGCUGGCGGCGUGCUUAACACAUGCAAGUCGAACGGAAAGGCUCCUGCUUGCAGGGGUACUCGAGUGGCGAACGGGUGAGUAACACGUGGGUGAUCUGCCCUGCCCUUCGGGAUAAGCCUGGGAAACUGGGUCUAAUACCGGAUAGGACCACAUUUUGGAUGGUGUGGUGGAAAGUUUUUCGGUGUGGGAUGAGCUCGCGGCCUAUCAGCUUGUUGGUGGGGUAAUGGCCUACCAAGGCGUCGACGGGUAGCCGGCCUGAGAGGGUGUACGGCCACAUUGGGACUGAGAUACGGCCCAGACUCCUACGGGAGGCAGCAGUGGGGAAUAUUGCACAAUGGGCGCAAGCCUGAUGCAGCGACGCCGCGUGGGGGAUGACGGCCUUCGGGUUGUAAACUCCUUUCGCUAGGGACGAAGCGCAAGUGACGGUACCUGGAGAAGAAGCACCGGCUAACUACGUG